rnacentral:rRNA from 1 species
AACGAACGCUGGCGGCAUGCCUAACACAUGCAAGUCGAACGAAGGCUUCGGCCUUAGUGGCGCACGGGUGCGUAACGCGUGGGAAUCUGCCCUUGGGUUCGGAAUAACAGUUAGAAAUGACUGCUAAUACCGGAUGAUGUCGUAAGACCAAAGAUUUAUCGCCCAGGGAUGAGCCCGCGUAAGAUUAGGUAGUUGGUGGGGUAAAGGCCUACCAAGCCGACGAUCUUUAGCUGGUCUGAGAGGAUGAUCAGCCACACUGGGACUGAGACACGGCCCAGACUCCUACGGGAGGCAGCAGUGGGGAAUAUUGGACAAUGGGCGAAAGCCUGAUCCAGCAAUGCCGCGUGAGUGAUGAAGGCCUUAGGGUUGUAAGCUCUUUUACCAGGGAUGAUAAUGACAGUACCUGGAGAAUAAGACUCCGGCUAACUCCGUGCCAGCAGCCGCGGUAAU